rnacentral:lncRNA from 1 species
CCAAAUUUUAUCUUUACAAUCAGACGGCUCUAAUUGUAAAUCUCUUUUCUCGAAAUACUGAAAGUUGUCAGUUCGGGCGACAUUGAAAAUGACUAAAACCGCCCAAUCAGAUGUUCAGGAGAAUUUCGCUAAAGCAAGUCCCAAAAUUUUUGGUGAAUAGAUGAGAAGUGUACCGUGACGGACAUGUGGCCACUUUAUUUAUCAACCUCAGCUGCAGUAUAUUUACAAUGCAGUUCGGGGUAGUGCCUAUCCAUACUGGAUAAAUAAAGGAGAAAAGAUUAGAGAACAUGUGGCAAAGCCUAUCAAUCAAAAGUGUACCGUCAAAUUGAAGAAAUAAUUGAUAAGUGUGGUUUCUGCACUUAUUCGAGGUCUUAAAAUGGUAUUUUACUGUUAUUUGGAUUCUAUACUAUAUAACUUAUGUUAUAUCACAUUUUAUAGAUAAAACUCGAUAUUUGAUGAGGAAUUGGAGAAAAGAAUGCAAAAAUAGUGGAAAUCUGAAAUUCAAGGACUAAACUACAAAUAAUCCAUAAAUGAGAUGGACAAUGAAAUGAAGAUCGAAGAUGCCAAUGAUUUAAGUUAAUAUAAUUGGAAGAUAAAGGAAUACGAUUACAAGAGAAAGGGGCUAAAAUGAUGCAAAUUCAAAGUUUGGGGGAUUAAAGUGCAAAUUUUCAAAACUUGUGUCGAAC